GACGAACGCUGGCGGCGUGCUUAACACAUGCAAGUCGAACGGUAAGGCCCUUCGGGGUACACGAGUGGCGAGCGGGUGAGUAACACGUGGGUGAUCUGCCCUGCACUUCGGGAUAAGCCUGGGAAACUGGGUCUAAUACCGGAUAGGACUCCUGGCUUCAUGGUUGGGGGUGGAAAGCUUUUGCGGUGUGGGAUGGGCCCGCGGCCUAUCGGCUUGUUGGUGGGGUAAUGGCCUACCAAGGCGACGACGGGUAGCCGGCCUGAGAGGGUGACCGGUCACACUGGGACUGAGAUACGGCCCAGACUCCUACGGGAGGCAGCAGUGGGGAAUAUUGCACAAUGGGCGCAAGCCUGAUGCAGCGACGCCGCGUGAGGGAUGACGGCCUUCGGGUUGUAAACCUCUUUCAGCUAUGACGAAGCGCAAGUGACGGUAGUAGCAGAAGAAGGACCGGCCAACUACGUGCCAGCAGCCGCCGUAA
rnacentral:rRNA from 1 species